AUUGAACGCUGGCGGCAGGCCUAACACAUGCAAGUCGAGCGAGCGGCGGACGGGUGAGUAAUGUCUGGGGACUGCCCGAUAGAGGGGGAUAACUACUGGAAACGGUGGCUAAUACCGCAUACUAUCGGAUAACCCAUAUGGGAUUAGCUAGGAGUUGGGGUAAAGGCUCACAUAAGCGACGCUCUCUAGCUGGUCUGAGAGGAUGACCAGGCACACUGGGACGGAGACACGGCCCAGAAUCCGACGGAGGCAGCAGUGGGGAAUAUUGCACAAUGGGCGCAAGCCUGAUGCAGCCAUGCCGCGUUGAUGAAGAAGGCCUUAGGGUUGUAAAGUACUUUCAGCGGGGAGGCGUUACCCGCAGAAGAAGCACCGGCUAACUCCGUGCCAGCAGCCGCGGUAAUAC
rnacentral:rRNA from 1 species